rnacentral:misc_RNA from 1 species
UCUCCGUUGGUGAACCAGCGGAGGGAUCAUUACAGAGUUGCAAAACUCCCAAAUCAUUGUGAACGUUACCUAUCCCGUUGCUUCGGCGGGCGGCCCGGGCCCCGCGCCCGGCGCCCCCCGGCCCCCCGUGGGCGCCCGCCGGAGGUAAACCAAACCCUUGAAUUGCAUGGCCUCUCUGAGUCUUCUGUACUGAAUAAGUCAAAACUUUCAACAACGGAUCUCUUGGUUCUG